AUGUAGUGUAGCAUGCCCGUUUGUGGAAUUACGUGGAAUUUGAUUGUCAUUUAAAUGAUUUUGGGUAACGGCGUGUUAUAAGAUG
rnacentral:pre_miRNA from 1 species